GAGUUUGAUCUUGGCUCAGGAUGAGCGCUGGCGGCGUGCCUAAUACAUGCAAGUCGAGCGAACGGACGAGAAGCUUGCUUCUCUGGUGUUAGCGGCGGACGGGUGAGUAACACGUGGGUAACCUACCUAUAAGACUGGGAUAACUCCGGGAAACCGGGGCUAAUACCGGAUAACACAUGAAACCGCAUGGUUUCAUGAUGGAAGACGGUCUUGCUGUCACUUAUAGAUGGAUCCGCGCUGCAUUAGCUAGUUGGUAAGGUAACGGCUUACCAAGGCAACGAUGCAUAGCCGACCUGAGAGGGUGAUCGGCCACACUGGAACUGAGACACGGUCCAGACUCCUACGGGAGGCAGCAGUAGGGAAUCUUCCGCAAUGGGCGAAAGCCUGACGGAGCAACGCCGCGUGAGUGAUGAAGGUCUUCGGAUCGUAAAACUCUGUUAUUAGGGAGAACAUAUGUGUAAGUAACUGUGCACAUCUUGACGGUACCUAAUCAGAAAGCCACGGCUAACUAC
rnacentral:rRNA from 1 species